rnacentral:rRNA from 1 species
UACGAAGGGGGCUAGCGUUGCUCGGAAUCACUGGGCGUAAAGCGCACGUAGGCGGCUUGCCAAGUCGGACGUGAAAUCCCUCAGCUCAACUGAGGACGUGCAUCCGAAACUGGCGAGCUUGAGUACUGAAGAGGAUCGCGGAAUUCCCGGUGUAGAGGUGAAAUUCGUAGAUAUCAGGAGGAACACCUGUGGCGAAAGCGGCUCACUGGACCAUAACUGACGCUGAUGCACGAAAGCUAGGGGAGCAAACAGGA